AGGAUUAUAUUUAAUUAUAAUAAUUGGUUUGCAAUCAAUAGGUACUAUUAGUUUAGUUAAUCUUG
rnacentral:tRNA from 1 species